rnacentral:rRNA from 1 species
GCGGGGAGGGGGUUUUAAAGGACGAGGAGAGGGGUAGGGGGUAACAGCGAUGGGUGGUCUAGCCUCCAGGAGGACGAGGUCGGUCCAGUUUGCGGCGGGGGAGGAGUAGACGCCAUAGGGCCGCCGGCGGAGUGAGUGUUGGAAGAGGAGGCACCGAGUUAGGCGAGCUUGCGGAGGUGCUUGGGAUCCGCUGUUGCCGCCGCUGCCGGGGCCCCUGCCUCCGGCGGCGUAUUCGCCCUCUUGUAUAGCCACGCGGCGGAGCAGGAGGUGCUUAGGCCGUCUCCUUGUAUGACCACGCGGCGGAGCAGGAGGUGCUUAGGCCGUCUCCUUGUAUGACCACGCGGCGGUGGAGGACGGCCUCCUCUGCCCGCGGUGACAGGACAGCCGCGGUAUGACGGAGUAGGGAUCCCAAGCCCACCGGAGCAGCGGCAGAAAACGAGGCGGCCACUGCGGAGUGCACCCUAAAUAACAAAAGACGACACGACCUAUCUUUCUAAGGAACCAGAGCUGGUCAUUUGGAGGUUAGGUUGUACAGGGGGUACCUCACCAAAGUCGUUCCUUCUACCUCUCGGGUAAGAGAGUGAGUGUUCCCAACUGUAGAGAAACAGGGAAAGUCUUAGACUCAAUAAACUACAUCUUUAACACCGACUCCUAGCAGGUUACCUCUAAGGACUAGGGGUUAAGAACCCAUAGCUCUUAUUGUGCUUAGAGUUCACGGUGGUACCCUCGACGACCUCUCCUUCUAUCGAAAGCCGUACCGACGCUGUCCGUUCUCCUAAAAACCGUUUACUCUUCUCUAGAAGUUACUUUAAUAGUAAGAUAUGGUAAGAAUCUAAUCCAAGAGAUUCACAACAGCACUGAAAUCGGUGAAAACAGGAAUACAAAAAACGUAUUAAGCUAACGAAACACCAAUUACACAUUUUUCGACAUACUAGUUUAAUAAUGAUAGGUAAAGAUAGCCGGAUAUUCAACAGACAGUACGUCGAACUUAAGAUUGAAUCACUAAAUACCUCUAUACACUUACCGUACUCCGUUGUCUAUAACGGUAACAAUAGCUCUACUGUUGUCUAUAAUGACCUACAUGUGCCCAAGACAUAAAACGGUUAGGACAUCAAACUAUGAGGUAACCCAAGUAGACGCCGUCCUGUAGUAAUUCAAAUUACACCUACCCGGGGUACAGGACCGAUCGUCGUACCUUGAACCCCGCAAUAACGGUCUCUAAGUCUUCCAGUUUAACACCGACGGUCCCGACACGGAACUUACACAUACUACGUAAACGGCGACUUGACGUUCGUCGCCUACUACCACCUCUGUCUUCGUGUCGACCAACUCGUUCGUCAUUUGUCCGUACGUGGACUAUAGAGGUUCCUUCAGGUCCGCUAUCUUCUGUAGUUUCAUGUCCGGUUUGAGACCAAGUGGAGUACACUCAAAGAAGUGACAUUCGAACAACGUUUACACGGAUGGGUGAGAGAUCGCGU